rnacentral:tRNA from 1 species
GCCCCGGUAGUCUAAGGGAUAGGCAUCUGUCUUCUAAACAGAUUUAAUGUAAGUUCGAAUCUUACUCGGGGUA